AAGUCGUGGGCAUCAGCUCAUAGCGUAUAUUAAAGUUGUUGCAGUUAAAAAGCUCGUAGUUGAAUUUCGGGAUCAAUAUUUCGGUCAUGCCGUUGGUAUGCACUGUUAUCAUUGAUUUCUCACCUUCUAAAGAACCGUAAUGCCAUUAAUUUGGUGUUACGGGGAAUUAGGACUGUUACCUUGAAAAAAUUAGAGUGUUUAAAGCAGGCUCACGCUUGAAUACAUUAGCAUGGAAUAAUGAAAUAGGACAUCCGAUUCUAUUUUGUUGGUUUCUAGGAUCGAUGUAAUGAUUAAUAGGGAUAGUUGGGCGUGAU
rnacentral:rRNA from 1 species